UGCUCAGAUAUGACGAUGGACAUUGCAAAGAGUGGCGAACGGGUGAGUAACACGUGGGAAACCUACCUCUUAGCAGGGGAUAACAUUUGGAAACAGAUGCUAAUACCGUAUAACAAUGACAACCGCAUGGUUGUUAUUUGAAAGAUGGUUCUGCUAUCACUAAGAGAUGGUCCCGCGGUGCAUUAGCUAGUUGGUAAGGUAAUGGCUUACCAAGGCGAUGAUGCAUAGCCGAGUUGAGAGACUGAUCGGCCACAAUGGGACUGAGACACGGCCCAUACUCCUACGGGAGGCAGCAGUAGGGAAUCUUCCACAAUGGGCGAAAGCCUGAUGGAGCAACGCCGCGUGUGUGAUGAAGGGUUUCGGCUCGUAAAACACUGUUGUAAGAGAAGAAUGACAUUGAGAGUAACUGUUCAAUGUGUGACGGUAUCUUACCAGAAAGGAACGGCUAAAUACGUGCCAGCAGCCGCGGUAAUACGUAUGUUCCAAGCGUUAUCCGGAUUUAUUGGGCGUAAAGCGAGCGCAGACGGUUAUUUAAGUCUGAAGUGAAAGCCCUCAGCUCAACUGAGGAAUUGCUUUGGAAACUGGAUGACUUGAGUGCAGUAGAGGAAAGUGGAACUCCAUGUGUAGCGGUGAAAUGCGUAGAUAUAUGGAAGAACACCAGUGGCGAAGGCGGCUUUCUGGACUGUAACUGACGUUGAGGCUCGAAAGUGUGGGUAGCAAACAGGAUUAGAUACCCUGGUAGUCCACACCGUAAACGAUGAGUGCUAGGUGUUUGAGGGUUUCCGCCCUUAAGUGCCGCAGCUAACGCAUUAAGCACUCCGCCUGGGGAGUACGACCGCAAGGUUGAAACUCAAAGGAAUUGACGGGGACCCGCACAAGCGGUGGAGCAUGUGGUUUAAUUCGAAGCAACGCGAAGAACCUUACCAGGUCUUGACAUCCCUUGACAACUCCAGAGAUGGAGCGUUCCCUUCGGGGACAAGGUGACAGGUGGUGCAUGGUUGUCGUCAGCUCGUGUCGUGAGAUGUUGGGUUAAGUCCCGCAACGAGCGCAACCCUUAUUACUAGUUGCCAGCAUUCAGUUGGGCACUCUAGUGAGACUGCCGGUGACAAACCGGAGGAAGGUGGGGAUGACGUCAAAUCAUCAUGCCCCUUAUGACCUGGGCUACACACGUGCUACAAUGGCGUAUACAACGAGUUGCCAACCCGCGAGGGUGAGCUAAUCUCUUAAAGUACGUCUCAGUUCGGAUUGUAGGCUGCAACUCGCCUACAUGAAGUCGGAAUCGCUAGUAAUCGCGGAUCAGCACGCCGCGGUGAAUACGUUCCCGGGUCUUGUACACACCGCCCGUCACACCAUGAGAGUUUGUAACACCCAAAGCCGGUG
rnacentral:rRNA from 1 species